GCCAACGAUCAUACCACGUUGAAUACACCAGUUUCCUUCAGAUCACUGAAGUUAAGCAACGUCGGGCGUGGUCAGUACUUGGAUGGGUGACCGCUUGGGAACACCACGUAUCGUUGGCUCAU
rnacentral:rRNA from 1 species